AUAAUAAAUUAUACAUUUGUGAUUAUUUAAUUGAAAAUAUGUAGUCUGAUAUCAUUUAUUCAAAUAAAUAAAAAUAAAACCAAAUAGAAGAAACAUUUCCUUAUAUAACACAACAUCACUUCUUUAGAACUAAGUAUGAAUUUAAAAACUUGAUUUAAAACUUGUAAACUCAUAGAAAGAAAACUCCUUUAAAAGUUUCACAACUUUUCGCUCGUAGAGUAUACGACUUCAGCGACAAGUACGGAUAAAAUAUGAAUUACAAAUGCAAUAAGGAAACUAUCCACACUAUACGUCAAUACGAUCUUUAGACUUAACUCGAGUGUAAUCUAAUACCCGAGCUAAUGAGAGAAAUAUUUAUAUUGCAGUAAAAAUAAUAGUAUAUCUGACAAAAGCAAGAUAAAAUGAUAUAGUAGAUUAUACUUUAAUAGAUUAAUUGAUGAGUGUUUGUUAAUUGUACAAACUUUAUAUUUUUUGUAUCUAAUUAAACUUAACAUAUAGCUAAAGAGUGUUUAAGCAGCCAUUAUCUUGAUAUUGCGUUGAAAUAAAUAAAAUAAAAGAUAAUAGUUGGAUCAAUAGAUUGCAGAUGCAUAUUUUGAAUUGUGAAAUAUGUAAAUAUGAUUACGUAUAUGAGUAGAAUAUUAAUUAUAGUAUUUAACCUGAGAAGUAUAAAUAAAAAUAAAUGAAAAUAAAUAAAAAUAAUGUAAAAUGUAAAUAAUAUGAUCUAGACGAAUCCACAAUGGGUAUCAUAAUGGCGUAUACAGAAAUCAGACGAAAUGUAAUAAAACACUUUCCUAUAUCAUUUGGAUCUAUGCCUGGCAGAGAUGAAAAUAGAAGAGAUCCUUGUACCAUGGGUCUAGCUACAGCUACCAUACAAGUCAUUGCUGCUGUGAGUUUGUGAGGUUCUGUGAGAGAAUCUAAUGUAGAAUACAUCCUCUCUAGAACUUGUGGUAUUACUAAGCUAGGUCUCAUAGUAGCAAG